AUGCCCCGAGCUGCGGAACCCCCCCGGUGCCCUCCCGCCGCCGGAGGCACGGAGCCUCCGUCGCGGAGUCCGGGGCCGCCUCCCGUCGGUGCUCGGCCCCGCUCCGCGCACCACGAAGCGGGAGGGGGCCGGGGGCUGCCGGGGGCUGCCGGCACUCUGCGCUCCUGCCGCCGCUCCCGGCCCGGCCCCUGCCCCGGGCUCGGCCCCCGGAGGGGCGCCCGGUGCCCCCCGCCCGCCCCGGUCCUCUCCCCGCACAGCCCCCCCCGGGCCUGGGGGGCUCGAGGCGGCCCCGGGACCCCGCGCGGGGUCGCAGCGGGCAGCCGAAGGCAAACGCGCGGUGAGCCCCGGCCAGGCUCCGGCCCCGGCCCCGGUGCUGCGGGGGGGCCGCGCUGCGGGCCGUGGUUACCGGACCGGGCUCCAGCAGGACGGCGCGAGGCAAACACGGACCCGUCACCGCCAGCGGCGGCCGGAACGAGAGGGUGGCGGCAGCUCCCGGCCGCCCGGCGGAGGCUCGGCCGGGCCCCGAGGGGAGCAGCCCCGCUCCCGCGGGCAGGAGCGGCCGGCAGCGGGCACCGGAGCCGGGAGGCGGCGGGGCCUCGCCUCCUGCCAGAGCUGGGACGGGGACACCGGGCGGUGCCGAGGGACCCGCUGGGACCGCGGGGGAGCCGGGGGGACCGGCGGGCCCGGCCACCGCGGCUGGGGCCGGGGAAGCAUCCGCGGGGCACCCCCCGGCGGGAGCUGUACCGGCGGAGGCACGGGCGGCCCCAUCCCUCCCCCCCACCGGGGCGGUGCGCGCCCAGCUGCCCCCGCCCGGCCCCGCCGCUCCACCGGCAGGUCCCGGGGUGGUCGGCACCGGGGCGGAGCGGAGCGGAGGAGCCGACACCGGAGACCGACGGCAGCGGCAGGCGCGGGUGCUCGCAGCUCUCGGGCGCUCUCACCGGUGCUGGAGGAGCCUCGCGGCAGAGCCGAGCACCCGGUCCGGGGGCACGGGGCCGCCCCCCCGAUCCCCUCCCCGUGCCAGCGGGAGGAGCGGGGCGGUGGGAAGCGGCUCCUCGCCCGCGGUCCCUCCCCCCGCGCCGGUCCCUCCCCCCCGAGCCGCCACCGCCGCCGUCGUCGCGGCUCCGGCAAAAGUUUUCGCCGGAGCGGCCGAGCGCACCGGUCCCGGUCCCGGUCCCGGCCCCCGCCAGCACCGAGAUGCGCACGGGAUCCGCCGCCAGAGCAGCCCCGACAGGGUCACCCAGGCACCAGGGCCCUCACCCCCAGGGCAGAGGAGCUCCUGAGGGCCAGUAGGAAGCCAGGCCCCCUGCUCCCUAUGCAGCUUGUGGCCCAGCGAAGGGAUGUCCCAGCCACGACUCCUCACCCUCCUGCUGCUGCUGCUCUGCUGCCAGGGCCCCUCCGCCCAGAUCACAGAUUCCCUCUUUGAGAACUGGAAGGCCUACAAGGAGGAAUGUCACCGCAACAUGAGCCGGAUGCCUGCGCCCACGGAGCUGGUCUGUAACCGAACCUUUGACAAGUUCUCCUGCUGGCCCGACGCGCUGCCCAACACCACCAUCAACGUCUCCUGCCCCUGGUUCCUGCCCUGGUACCAGAAAGUGAGGCACAGGUACGUCUUCAAGACUUGCGGGCCGGACGGGGAGUGGGUGACGGGCCCCAAGGGGCAGUCCCUGCGGGAUGCCACCCAGUGCCAGAUCGACGCCGAGGACCUGGAGGCGCAGGAAAAGUUUGCCAAGACCUACGGCAGCUUCAAGGUGAUGUACACGGUGGGCUACUCGGUGUCGCUGUGCGCGCUGCUGCUCGCCCUGGCCGUGCUGCUGGGCUUCAGCAAGCUGCACUGCAUGAGGAACUACAUCCACAUGAACCUCUUCGCCUCCUUCAUCCUGAAGGGCGUCUCCGUGCUGGUCAUCGACGCCCUGCUGAAGACGCACUACAGCGACAAGAUCGAUGACUACAACGUGCGCAUCUGGCUGAGCGACGAGGCUGCCGCAGGCUGCCGGGCGGCCACGGUCUUCAUGCAGUACGGCACCGUGGCCAACUACUGCUGGCUGCUGGUGGAGGGCAUCUACCUGCACAACCUCCUGGUGGUGGCCGUCUUCUCCGAGCGGAGCUACUUCACCCUCUACCUGUGCAUCGGCUGGGGGGCACCCAUGCUAUUUCUCAUCCCCUGGGUCGUUGUGAAGUUCCUCUACGAAAACAUCCAGUGCUGGAGCACCAACAACAACAUGGGCUUCUGGUGGAUCCUCCGCUUCCCCGUGUUCCUGGCCAUCCUGAUCAACUUCUUCAUCUUCAUCCGCAUCAUCCAGAUCCUCAUCUCCAAGCUCCGUGCGCACCAGAUGCGCUACACGGACUACAAGUUCAGGCUGGCCAAGUCCACGCUGACGCUGAUCCCCCUGUUGGGCAUCCAUGAGGUUGUCUUCGCCUUUGUCACGGACGAGCACGCCCAGGGCACCCUGCGCUACGUCAAGCUCUUCUUCGACCUCUUCCUGAGCUCCUUCCAGGGGAUGCUGGUGGCCAUUCUCUACUGCUUCGUCAACAAGGAGGUGCAGUCGGAGCUGCUGAAGAGGUGGCAGCGCUGGAAGCUGGGGAAGGACCUGGCGGAGGAGUACAAGCACACCUACAGCCACGCGCCCAGCGCCCGCAACGGCACCGGCAGCGCCUGCGAGAAGCACCAGCUGGUGAGCGGCUGUGCCAACGGGCUGGGGCGCAGCCCGGCCGCCUCGCGGCCCCCCACCCACUACCUCGAGAGGAGCGGCCACGGCACCGCCGAGCACCUCGCCCUGGGGGACCGGCACCACUGCUAUGAGUUCCCCGAGACCACGGCCGAGAGCCACUUCUGA
rnacentral:lncRNA from 1 species